AAGCACUGGUAUCAACGCGUGAAAGCGUGGCCUAAUCGAUCCUUUUGACUUUUAGGAGUUUUUAAGCAAGAGGUGUCAGAAAAGUUACCACAGGGAUAACUGGCUUGUGGCAGUCCAAGCGUUCAUGAGCGACGUUGCUUUUUUGAUCAUUCGAUGUCGGCCUCUUCCUAUCAUUGUGAAGCAGAAUUACCAAGCGUGUGGAAUUGUUCAUAGCACA